UAAGUAUCCCACCUGGGGAGUACGAUCGCAAGGUUGAAACUCAAAGGAAUUGACGGGGGCCCGCACAAGCGGUGGAGUAUGUGGUUUAAUUCGAAGCAACGCGAAGAACCUUACCAGGGCUUGACAUCCCGGCGACCGGCCUAGAGAUAGGCUCUCCCUUCGGGGCGCCGGUGACAGGUGGUGCAUGGUUGUCGUCAGCUCGUGUCGUGAGAUGUUGGGUUAAGUCCCGCAACGAGCGCAACCCCUAUUGUUAGUUGCUACGCAAGAGCACUCUAGCGAGACUGCCGUUGACAAAACGGAGGAAGGUGGGGACGACGUCAAAUCAUCAUGCCCCUUAUGUCCUGGGCUACACACGUACUACAAUGGUGGUAAACAGAGGGAGGCAAAACCGCGAGGUGGAGCAAAUCCCUAAAAGCCAUCCCAGUUCGGAUUGCAGGCUGCAACCCGCCUGCAUGAAGUUGGAAUCGCUAGUAAUCGCGGAUCAGCAUGCCGCGGUGAAU
rnacentral:rRNA from 1 species